rnacentral:tRNA from 1 species
CAAAAUGUAGCUUAAUUCAAAGCUCUUCGCUUACACCGAAGCAAUAUCUGUGAAACCCUGAUCAUUUUGAG